GACGAACGCUGGCGGCGUGCCUAAUACAUGCAAGUAGGACGCAGUUGCGAACGGGUGAGUCACGCGUAGGUAACUGCCUAUUAUAGGGGGAUAACUCUUGGAAACGAUAGCUAAUACCGCAUACUAGUAGAUGGACUUGCGUUGCUUUAGGUAGUAGGUAGGGUAAUGGCGUACCUAGGCAACGAUGCCUAGCCGAGCUGGUAGGGGUGUCGGCCACAAUGGGAACGAGACAAGGCCCAGACUGCUACGGCAAGCAGCAGUGGGGAAUGUUCGGCAAAGUGGGGAACGCGGACCGGGCAAAGCCGGGUGAGUGAAGAAGGUUUUCGGAUCGUAAAGCUCUGUUGUGAAGGAAGCGGUACUUAACCAGAAAGGGACGGCUAACUACGUGCCAGCAGCCGCGGUAAUAC
rnacentral:rRNA from 1 species